rnacentral:rRNA from 1 species
AUUGAACGCUGGCGGCAGGCUUAACACAUGCAAGUCGAACGAGUGGCGGACGGGUGAGUAAUGCUUGGGAAUCUACCUUAUGGAGGGGGAUAACUACGGGAAACUGUAGCUAAUACCGCGUACCAUAGGAUGAGCCCAAGUGGGAUUGGGUAGUUGGUGUGGUAAAGGCUCACCAAGCCGACGAUCUCUAGCUGGUCUGAGAGGAUGACCGGCCACACUGGGACGGAGACACGGUCCAGAGUCCUACGGGAGGCAGCAGUGGGGAAUAUUGCGCAAUGGGGGCAACCCUGACGCAGCCAUGCCGCGUGUAUGAAGAAGGCCGUCGGGUUGUAAAGUACUUUCAGCGAGGAGGCGUUACUCGCAGAAGAAGCACCGGCUAACUCCGUGCCAGCAGCCGCGGUAAUUC